GACUAGAGUCGAAGGCCGAGAGCUGGUCAUAAUGACAGAUGAAGAAAUUAAUAAAGACUAUCCUGUAGAAAUUCAUGAGUAUUUAUCAACAUUUGAGAAUUCCACUGGUGCUAUGGAUGAGAUGUUGAAGACCAUGAUGUCUGUUUCUAGAAAUGAGUUGCUGCAGAAGUUGGACCCACUUGAGCAAGCAAAAGUGGACUUGGUUUCUGCAUAUACAUUAAAUUCAAUGUUUUGUGUUUAUUUGGCAACUCAAGGAGUUAAUCCCAAGGAACAUCCAGUAAAGCAGGAGUUGGAAAGAAUUAGAGUAUAUAUGAACAGAGUCAAGGAAAUAACAGACAAGAAAAAGCCUGGCAAGCUGGACAGAGGUACAGCUUCAAGAUUUGUAAAAAAGUGCCCUUUAAGAGUCAAAACCUAAAAAUGCAUCAAAAGUUGCCAAUAAAGGAAAAAGUAAAAAAGGAACUUUUUGGUUCUGAUGUACAUAUAUUGAAAAGUUCAUC